rnacentral:rRNA from 1 species
AUGGAGGGGCUGCCGGCGCAGGUGGAGGUUCCAUCGUACUUCCUGUGCCCGAUCUCCAUGGAGAUCAUGCGGGACCCUGUGACGCUCUCGUCCGGGAUCACCUACGACCGGGAAAGCAUCGAGCGCUGGGUGUUCACCGACGGCCACGGUGAGUGCCCGAUGACCAAGCAGCAGCUCGGCGCCGCCGACCGGGAGCCCACGCCCAACCACACGCUCCGCCGGCUCAUCCAGGGCUGGUGCGCGGUGCACGCGGUCGAGAGGUUCCCCACCCCGCGCGCUCCCAUCGAUGCCGCGCGCGUGGAAACCAUCGUGGACGCGGCCAGGCGGGGGCACGACCUGCUGGUGGCGUCCCUGAGGGAGCUCGCGGACAUCGUCGCCGAGAGCGAUUGCAACCGGCGCUGCGUCGAGAGCACACCGGGCGCCGUGGCGUUCCUCGUGUCCGUCGUCAAGAAGCACGCCGCAGACGACACCCCCAAGCCUUUAGAAUCCCAGGAGGAUCAGAUGUUCGGCUCCGUGGUCGAUCCGCCAAAGGCGAGCUCGCCGGAGGACGUAGCGUUAAGUAUUCUGUAUUCGCUUAGACUCUCCGAGGGAAGCUGGAAGAGAGUCUUGGAACGCGGCGACAAUUUCUUGGACACCAUGGCGUCGGUGCUGAGGCGGCCAAGCUAUCUCUCGCGCACGCACGGCAUCCAGCUUCUCAAGGCGGCGGUUUCGGAGAUGCCGCCAGCGCAGCUGACCUCGGCAAGCGCCGAGCUGGUGGAGGGAGUGGUGUCGGUGGUGACAGAUAAGCUUUCCGGGAAGGCGGUCAAGAUCGCACUCCAGGUGCUCUGCCGGCUUUGCCUCUGGGGCCGGAACCGCGUCAAGGCCGUCGAAGCCGGCGCCGUCGGGGCGCUCGUGGAGUUGCUCCUCGAUGAGUGCUGCGGAGGAAGCAAGCGGGCAUCCGAGCUCGCGAUCGUGGUAAUGGACCAUCUCUGUGGCUGCGCUGAAGGGCGUUUGGAGCUUGUGGCGCACCCGGCAGGUCUGGCGGUUAUGGCGAGGGCGGUGACACGAGUGUCCGCCGCAGGGACGGAGAGCGCGGUGCGCGCCCUGCACGCGGUGGCGAGGCACUCGGCGACCCCAACGGUGUUGCAGGAGAUGCUGGCGGUCGGGGUGGUGGGGAGGCUGCUGUUCCUGGUGCAGACCGGCGCCGCCGGCGAUCGGCCGAGGGAAAGGGCGAGGGAGAUGCUCAAGAUGCACGCCAGGGUGUGGAGAGGCUCGCCGUGCUUCACGCCACAACUGAAUGCACCCUACCCUUCUUGA